rnacentral:rRNA from 1 species
UACGUAGGGUGCAAGCGUUGUCCGGAAUUAUUGGGCGUAAAGAGCGUGUAGGCGGCCCGAUUAGUCCGCAUGUCGAAAGUCCGAGGGCUCAACCCUGGAAAGCCGGUGGAUACUGCCGGGCUAGAGUCCGGAAGAGCGAGUGGAAUUCCUGGAUGUAGCGGUGGAAUGCGCAGAUAUCAGGAGGAACACCAAUAGCGAAGGCAGCUCGCUGGGACGGUACUGACGCUGGAGGUGACGAAAGCGUGGGGAGCAAACAGG